rnacentral:rRNA from 1 species
ACGAACGCUGGCGGCGCGCUUAACACAUGCAAGUCGAGCGAGAACCGGCCUUCGGGCCGGGGAUAAGCGGCGAGACGGUGUGAGUAACACGUGGGGUAAUCUGCCCUCCGGUUCUGGGAUAGCCCGGGGAAACCCGGAUUAAUACCGGAUGGCCCUUUGAGGUUCUCGAAUUCAAAGGAAAGGUAGCUUCGGCCUCCGACCGAGGAUGAGCCCGCGGCGGAUUAGCUUGUUGGUGGUGGUAACGGCCCACCAAGGCGACGAUCCGUAGCUGGUCUGAGAGGACGAUCAGCCACACUGGGACUGAGACACGGCCCAGACUCCUACGGGAUGGCAGCAGUGGGGAAUCUUGCGCAAUGGGCGAAAGCCUGACGCAGCGACGCCGCGUGAGGGAAGAAGGCCUUCGGGUUGUAAACCUCUUUCAGGAGGGACGAAAGCCACUCGGGUUAAUAGCCCAGAGGGUGACUGAGUACCUUCAGAUAGGAACGCCCCGGCUAACUAUACGUGCCAGCAGCCGCUGGUAAUACGUAGGGGGCUAGCGUUGUCCCGGAUAUUUAUUGGGCGUAAAGAGCGUGUAGGCGGCCAGGUAGGUCCGUUGUGAAAACUGGAGGCUUAACCUCCAGCUGUCGAUGGAAACCAUCUGGCUAGAGGUCCCGGAAGAGGAGAGUGGAAUUCCUGGUGUAGCGGUGAAAUGCGCAGAUAUCAGGAAGAACCACCCGUGGCGAAGGCGGCUCUCUGGGACUGGUACUGACGGCUGAGACGCGAAAGCGUGGGGAUGCGAACAGGAUUAGAUACCCUGGUAGUCCACGCCCGUAAACGAUGGGUGCUAGGUGUGGGCUGGUGUCGACUCCGUCCGUGCCGAAGCUAACGCAAUUAAGCACCCCGCCUGGGGAGUACGGCCGCAAGGCUAAAACUCAAAGGAAUUGACGGGGGCCCGCACAAGCAGUCGGAGCAUGUUGUUUAAUUCGACGCGACGCGAAGAACCUUACCAUGGGCUUGACAUGCACGGCUUGGACCUGUCCGUAGAAAUACGGCCAGUUCCCUCAGGGGACUGUGAAUCAGGUGGCUGCAUGCUGUCGUCAGCUCGUGUCGUGAGAUGUUGGGUUAUAGUCCCGCAACGAGCGCAACCCCUUGUCCUAGUGUUGCCAGCGUGAAGACGGGCACUCAUAGGAGACAGCCGCGUGAUAAAUCUGGAGGAAGGUGGGGAUGACGGUCAAGUCAUCAUGCCUCUUAUGUCCUAGGGCUACAAACGUGCUACAAUGGUACGGUACAAACCGCGGCUAGCCAAACUCGCGAUGAGGGUGAGCGAAUCGAAAAAAGCCUGUGUCUCAGGUUCGGAUUGGCAGGCUGCAACCUCGCCUCCAUGAAGCUCGGAAGUCGCUAGUAAUCGGGUAUAUCAGCAACGAUACGCGGUGAAUAUCGUUCCCGGGCCUUGUACACACCGCCCGUCACAUCACGAAAGUCGGUAAUUACUCGAAGUCCGGUGCGGCCUAACCCGCAAGGGGAGGGAGCCGUCCGAAUGGUUAGGACUCAUGAUUGGGGUG